rnacentral:misc_RNA from 1 species
AAGUCGUAACAAGGUCUCCGUUGGUGAACCAGCGGAGGGAUCAUUAAAGAGUUGCAAAACUCUCACAAACCAUCGCGAACGUUACCCAGACGUCGUUGCUUCGGCGGGCUCGCCCGCCGGGGGGACGCUACCAGACUCUUGCAGUUCUUCGGCCUCUCUGAGUACGAUUUUUAAAUAAGUCAAAACUUUCAACAACGGAUCUCUUGGUUCUG